CAUAUCAAUAAGCGGAGGAAAAGAAACUAACAAGGAUUCCCCUAGUAACUGCGAGUGAAGCGGGAAAAGCUCAAAUUUAAAAUCUGGCGGUCUUGCGGCCGUCCGAGUUGUAAUCUGGAGAAGUGUCUUCCGCGUCGGACCGUGUACAAGUCUUCUGGAAGGGAGCGUCAUAGAGGGUGAGAAUCCCGUCUUUGACACGGACUACCGAUGCUUUUGUGAUGCGCUCUCGAAGAGUCGAGUUGUUUGGGAAUGCAGCUCAAAAUGGGUGGUAAAUUCCAUCUAAAGCUAAAUAUUGGCGAGAGACCGAUAGCGAACAAGUACCGUGAGGGAAAGAUGAAAAGCACUUUGGAAAGAGAGUUAAACAGUACGUGAAAUUGUUGAAAGGGAAACGUUUGAAGUCAGUCGCGUCGGCCGAGACUCAGCCUUGCGUUCUCGCUUGGUGCACUUCUCGGUUGACGGGUCAGCAUCAAUUUUGAAUGCCGGAUAAAGGUCGGGGGAAUGUGGCAUCUCUCGGGAUGUGUUAUAGCCCUCGGUUCGGAUACGGCAUUUGGGAUUGAGGAACUCAGCGUGCCUUUAUGGUCGGGGUAUCAACCCACGUAACGCGCUUAGGAUGCUGGCAUAAUGGCUUUAAGCGACCCGUCUUGAAACA
rnacentral:rRNA from 1 species